AAGAGAGAAGAGAAGACAUUUCGUAGGAGAGAGGGGGUACAAGAUGGACUUUAACUUUUUGUUUUUUUUUUUUUUUUUUUUUUUUCUCUUU
rnacentral:ribozyme from 13 species